rnacentral:lncRNA from 1 species
ACAGUAUAGUUAGAAUACUUAGGAUUUUUUCUUGUAGAAAAUCCUAGUCCAUGCUAGUGUUAUAGACUUAGAGUAAUCUAUUGAGAUGAUUAUCAUAUUUAGGUUAUGUACUCUUAUUUAUCUUCUGUCAUUUAUUAUUCAUAUAUAUUAUUUAUCUUAUGUGACACUUAUCCUGAAUGAGAGAUAGAUAAAGACAUGGUUA